AGAGGGCGUUGUUGAUCACCGGAAAAGUAAGGGUAACUCUACUUGGGGGUGGUUUAGGGGAAUCUGUAAUAGCCGCAACCCAUUUACUCUUCUCUUCCAAUAACUUAUGCCCCGGAAAUAGAGAACAAGUGUGACCAUCGGGCCCCAUUCCCAAUAGUAACAUAUCAAAUUUGGGAAUAGCAGCUUGAGAGAAAUGGUGCGCCACCUUGUGGACGUAAUCCUCGGCUGCAUCUUCAGCUAGAGGAGAACUCUGUUAUCUGGUGUCAGCAACAGAUUAAGCGCGGACAUCAGUUGUUUGUACUGGCCGUAAGUCGAGUCGGGGCUGUCUUCAGGGACAACUCUCUCGUCACAGAAGAAAAUCCGCCAUUUGCUGAAAUCUGUCUGGAUUUUAGGGAGACCUUCUUUGAGGAACCCGACCAAUGAACCACCUGGAAGUAAUCCUGGUUGUAUUUAAAUCGAUUUGUUGGGCACUUACCUGAAACGCCGACAUUAAAAACUCCCUGUUUCAGAAUGCGGUCAUUGGAGACUUGUUUGAUUAAGUUUGCUAAUGUUGUUACAACUUCAUCGCGGUUUUUCACAAUAUUAACCGACUUAUUUUGCGUCGGGAGGCUCAUAUUUCAGCGGAGUUGCGUUUGUACAGGUUGCUGGAAACAAACAAGGAUGUUGCAAAGUCACGUUGACAUUGGUAUGCGAGUGAGACGGAGCGAUAGGAUAGGUUUGGUUGGUUUGAUUACGGUGGAGUUCCCCUGCGAUGAAAUUUUUGUAACAAAUUUUUAUGAUACUACAUUGUAAUUUUGGUGUUGACAUAUUCUGAUACUAAAUGACUAAAGAAUAUAAAAAAUCAUAAAUGUUUCUUUACGCAAAUUAUUUUACAAAUAACUAAUAUGUGUCUUAUUAUUACAAAAUAGCAGAGCAAAUGAAACUAAGUAUGGGGUCUGCCUAAUAUUUUGCUGCCAAAUAAUUAAACAGGUUGUAAUUUUAAUAUAGAAAAUAAAACUUAAAGAUUUUACGUAAA